rnacentral:rRNA from 1 species
UGGUGGUGCAUGGCCGUUCUUAGUCGGUGAAGUGAUUUGUCUGGUUAAUUCCGAUAACGGACGAGACCUCAGCCAUCUAAAUAGCUGAAGCUAACUUGUUAGCUUGGACCUUGGGUCUUUUCAGCUUCUUAGAGGGACUAUCUGUUUUUAGCAGAAGGAGGAUUGAGGCAAUAACAGGUCAGUGAUGCCCUUAGAUGAUCUGGGCUGCACGCGCGCUACAAUGGUGCAUUCAAUGAGUUUAACCUUGCUUGAAAAAGUUGGGUAAUCUCUGAAAGCGCAUCAAAGUUGGGAUAGAUGAUUGCAAUUGU